rnacentral:rRNA from 1 species
CAAGUCGAACGAAUCCCGGUAGCAAUACCGGGGGAAGUGGCGAAAGGGGCAGUAAGGCGUGGAUAACCUACCCUGGGGACUGGGAUAGCCUUCCUAACGGAAGGGUAAUACUGGGCGAUCUGGCGAAGAGACAUCUAGUUGCCAGGAAAUGAAUUUCGCCUCGGGAGGGGUCCACGUGCUAUUAGCUUGUUGGCGGGGUAACGGCCCACCAAGGCGAAGAUGGCUAGCGGGUGUGAGAGCACGACCCGCGCCACUGGCACUGAGACACUGGCCAGACUCCUACGGGAGGCUGCAGUCGAGGAUCUUCGGCAAUGGGCGCAAGCCUGACCGAGCGACGCCGCGUGUGCGAUGAAGGCCUUCGGGUUGUAAAGCACUGUCGAGGGGGAGAAAGCCGCAAGGUUGAUCGACCCCUGGAGGAAGCACGGGCUAAGUUCGUGCCAGCAGCCGCGGUAAGACGAACCGUGCGAACGUUGUUCGGAAUCACUGGGCUUAAAGGGCGCGUAGGCGGGUGGCCAAGUCGGUGGUGAAAUCCUCCAGCUCAACUGGAGAAUUGCCUUCGAUACUGGUUGUCUUGAGGGGGGUAGGGGCAGACGGAACUUCCGGUGGAGCGGUGAAAUGCGUAGAUAUCGGAAGGAACGCCGGCGGCGAAAGCGGUCUGCUGGACCCCCACUGACGCUGAGGCGCGAAAGCCAGGGGAGCAAACGGGAUUAGAUACCCCGGUAGUCCUGGCCCUAAACGAUGAGAACUAGGUUGUGGACUUGACAUGGGUUCACAGCCGAAGCCAAAGUGCUAAGUUCUCCGCCUGGGGAGUAUGGUCGCAAGGCUGAAACUCAAAGGAAUUGACGGGGGCUCACACAAGCGGUGGAGCAUGUGGCUUAAUUCGAGGCUACGCGAAGAACCUUAUCCUGGACUUGACAUGUGCGAAAGC